rnacentral:rRNA from 1 species
GACCUCAGAUCAGGCAAGGCUACCGC